rnacentral:rRNA from 1 species
UACAGAGGUCUCAAGCGUUGUUCGGAUUCAUUGGGCGUAAAGGGUGCGUAGGCGGCGCGGUAAGUCGGGUGUGAAAUCUCGGAGCUUAACUCCGAAACUGCAUUCGAUACUGCCGUGCUUGAGGACUGGAGAGGAGACUGGAAUUUACGGUGUAGCGGUGAAAUGCUAGAUAUCGUAAGGAAGACCAGUGGCGAAGGCGGGUCUCUGGACAGUUCCUGACACUGAGACACGAAGGCCAGGGGAGCAAACGGGG